rnacentral:rRNA from 1 species
UCUACGGGUGGCAGCAGUGGGGAAUAUUGCGCAAUGGGCGAAAGCCUGACGCCGCGACGCCGCGUGAGGGAUGAAGGUCUUCGGAUCGUAAACCUCUGUCAGCAGGGAAGAACGGUCACUGUGCUAAUCAGCAGUGAAUUGACGGUACCUGCAAAGGAAGCACCGGCUAACUCCGUGCCAGCAGCCGCUGUAAUACGGAGGGUGCGAGCGUUAAUCGGAAUUACUGGCCGUAAAGCUCUCGUAGGCGGUAUGUCAAGGCAAGGGUGAAAUCCCCGCGCUCAACGUGGGAAUUGCCUUUGAAAAUGGCAAACUGGAGUGUGUGAGAGGAUAGUGGAAUUCCAGGUGUAGGAGUGAAAUCCGUAGAUAUCUGGAGGAACAUCAGGGGCGAAGGCGAGUAUCUGGCACAUAACUGACGCUGAGGAGCGAAAGCGUGGGUAGCAAACAGGAGUAGAUACCCGUGUAGUC